rnacentral:rRNA from 1 species
AGUGCAUGUGGUGGAUGCCUUGGCAGUCAGAGGCGAUGAAAGACGUGAUAGCCUGCGAAAAGCUCCGGGGAGGCGGCAAAUAUCCUUUGAUCCGGAGAUGUCUGAAUGGGGGAACCCACCUACUUUAAGGUAGGUAUUGCAACAUGAAUACAUAGUGUUGCAAGGCGAACGAGGGGAAGUGAAACAUCUCAGUACCCUUAGGAAAAGAAAUCAAUUGAGAUUCCCUCAGUAGCGGCGAGCGAACGGGGAUCAGCCCAUUAAGUUAUGUGUGUUUUAGUGGAACGCUCUGGGAAGUGCGAACGUAGAGGGUGAUAUUCCCGUACACGAAAGGGCACACAUAAUGAUGACGAGUAGGGCGAGGCACGUGAAACCUUGUCUGAAUAUGGGGGGACCAUCCUCCAAGGCUAAAUACUCCUGACUGACCGAUAGUGAACCAGUACCGUGAGGGAAAGGCGAAAAGAACCCCUGUGAGGGGAGUGAAAUAGAUCCUGAAACCGCAUGCAUACAAGCAGUGGGAGCACCUUCGUGGUGUGACUGCGUACCUUUUGUAUAAUGGGUCAGCGACUUAUAUUCAGUAGCGAGGUUAACCGUAUAGGGGAGCCGUAGAGAAAUCGAGUCUUAAUAGGGCGUUUAGUUGCUGGGUAUAGACCCGAAACCAGGCGAUCUAUCCAUGAGCAGGUUGAAGGUUGGGUAACACUAACUGGAGGACCGAACCCACUGUCGUUGAAAAGCCAGGGGAUGACUUGUGGAUAGGGGUGAAAGGCUAAUCAAGCCUGGUGAUAGCUGGUUCUCCCCGAAAGCUAUUUAGGUAGCGCCUCGGACGAAUACCAUAGGGGGUAGAGCACUGUUUCGGCUAGGGGGUCAUCCCGACUUACCAAACCGAUGCAAACUCCGAAUACCUAUGAGUACUAUCCGGGAGACAGACUGCGGGUGCUAACGUCCGUAGUCAAGAGGAAAACAAUCCAGACCGCCAGCUAAGGCCCCAAAAUCAUAGUUAAGUGGGAAACGAUGUGGGAAGGCAUAGACAGCUAGGAGGUUGGCUUAGAAGCAGCCACCCUUUAAAGAAAGCGUAAUAGCUCACUAGUCGAGUCGGCCUGCGCGGAAGAUGUAACGGGGCUAAAACUAUGUGCCGAAGCUGCGGAUGUAUACUUUGUAUACGUGGUAGGGGAGCGUUCUGUAAGCCGAUGAAGGUGUGUUGAGAAGCAUGCUGGAGGUAUCAGAAGUGCGAAUGCUGACGUGAGUAACGACAAAACGGGUGAAAAACCCGUUCGCCGAAAGACCAAGGGUUCCAGUCCAACGUUAAUCGGGGCUGGGUGAGUCGACCCCUAAGGCGAGGCCGAAAGGCGUAGUCGAUGGGAAAAUGGUUAAUAUUCCAUUACUUCUGUGUAAUGCGAUGAGAGGACGGAGAAGGCUAAAUCAGCCUGGCGUUGGUUGUCCAGGUGAAAGGAUGUAGGCAUGUAUCUUAGGCAAAUCCGGGGUACUCUAUGCUGAGAUCUGAUAGCAAGCUGUACUUGUACAGCGAAGUGGUUGAUGCCAUGCUUCCAGGAAAAGUCUCUAAGCUUCAGUUACACAGGAAUCGUACCCGAAACCGACACAGGUGGUCAGGUCGAGUAGACCAAGGCGCUUGAGAGAACUCUGCUGAAGGAACUAGGCAAAAUGGUACCGUAACUUCGGGAGAAGGUACGCUGUUGUUGGUGAUGGAACUCGCUUCCUGAGCUGACGACAGCCGCAGAAACCAGGCCGCUGCAACUGUUUAUUAAAAACAUAGCACUCUGCAAACACGAAAGUGGACGUAUAGGGUGUGAUGCCUGCCCGGUGCUGGAAGGUUAAUUGAUGGGGUUAGCGUAAGCGAAGCUCUUGAUCGAAGCCCCAGUAAACGGCGGCCGUAACUAUAACGGUCCUAAGGUAGCGAAAUUCCUUGUCGGGUAAGUUCCGACCUGCACGAAUGGCAUAAUGAUGGCGGCGCUGUCUCCAGCAGAGGCUCAGUGAAAUCGAAAUCGCUGUGAAGAUGCAGUGUACCCGCGGCUAGACGGAAAGACCCCGUGAACCUUUACUGCAGCUUGACACUGAACUUUGACCUUACUUGUGUAGGAUAGGUGGGAGGCUUUGAAGCUGGAACGCUAGUUCCAGUGGAGCCGUCCUUGAAAUACCACCCUGGUAAUGUUGAGGUUCUAACUCUGUCCCGUGAUCCGGGACGAGGACCGUGUCUGGUGGGUAGUUUGACUGGGGCGGUCUCCUCCUAAAGAGUAACGGAGGAGUACGAAGGUGCGCUCAGCGUGGUCGGAAAUCACGCGUAGAGUAUAAAGGCAAAAGCGCGCUUAACUGCGAGACCCACAAGUCGAGCAGGUACGAAAGUAGGUCUUAGUGAUCCGGUGGUUCUGUAUGGAAGGGCCAUCGCUCAACGGAUAAAAGGUACUCUGGGGAUAACAGGCUGAUACCGCCCAAGAGUUCAUAUCGACGGCGGUGUUUGGCACCUCGAUGUCGGCUCAUCUCAUCCUGGGGCUGAAGCA